rnacentral:rRNA from 1 species
GACGAACGCUGGCGGCGUGCUUAACACAUGCAAGUCGAACGGAAAGGCCCUGCUUUUGUGGGGUGCUCGAGUGGCGAACGGGUGAGUAACACGUGAGUAACCUGCCCUUGACUUUGGGAUAACUUCAGGAAACUGGGGCUAAUACCGGAUAGGAGCUCCUGCUGCAUGGUGGGGGUUGGAAAGUUUCGGCGGUUGGGGAUGGACUCGCGGCUUAUCAGCUUGUUGGUGGGGUAGUGGCUUACCAAGGCUUUGACGGGUAGCCGGCCUGAGAGGGUGACCGGCCACAUUGGGACUGAGAUACGGCCCAGACUCCUACGGGAGGCAGCAGUGGGGAAUAUUGCACACUGGGCGGAAGCAUGAUGCAGCAACGCCGCGUGCGGGAUGACGGCCUUAGGGUUGUAACCCGCUUUCGCCUGUGACGAAGCGUGAGUGACGGUAAUGGGUAAAGAAGCACCGGCUAACUACGUG